rnacentral:tRNA from 1 species
GCCCAUAUAGCUCAGGCGGUAGAGCGCAUCCUUGGUAAGGAUGAGGUCGGCAGUUCGACUCUGCCUAUGGGCACCA